CAGCUACACAACAGUCUAGGCCAGAACACCCAGAUAUCUCCUUUGUUCUGUCUCUGAGCCACUCCAUAGUUCUCUGGGCUGCUAUUCAGUGUGUUUCUGCUGCGGGAGUAGGCUCCACACUGUUCCUGCCGGAGUCUGGUCAGACCUGCAGCCAUGAUCUUCUCCACCCUGAGGCAGUCUCUGGGAUGCCAUGAAUGCUGGGAUUUCACCCUGUGUGGACUGAGAUGCAGCCCAGAUCUCUGCACUUUAAAAGGCCUCUGCAUUGAACAAGCCUGUGUGACUUGGCCAGGAAGCCACAGGGAGAUGCAGAUGCCAAUACACAUGGAAAUGGGGCUCCUUUUUUUUCCCUAAAGAAAACAGGCUUCAUUUUUCCUUAGUGCCACUGAAACGAAAUGCUUGAGCCUGUUUUUAUAUGCAGAAAUAUCCCCAGUUCAAAAAGAAAUAAAGUUAAUUCAAGAAGCAAAUGUCCACCUACAGGUAUCUGAAACAAACAUGACCAGGUACUUUCUGGGCUUCCCUGGUGGCUCAGCGGUAAAAGAAUUCGCCUGCCAGUGCAGAAGACUGGGUUAGGAAGAUUCCCAUGGAGAAAGAAAUGACAAUUCAUGCCUGAAGAAUCCCAUGGACAGAGGAGCCUGGCAGGCUAUAGCCCAUGUCGUCCCAAAGAGUAGAACAUGACUGAGCGACUAAAUACCAACAACAAGUACUUUCUAGUGUGCGCAAAUCUCCAAGAUUAAUAUGAGACCUUUCGGAUGACUGAAUAAGGAAGAAAUCUGGAGAACAUAUAUGUGGGGCUCCAACGUUCGAUCUGGCACCACUGCUACUGUUUACUGGAGACAGAGCACGAGGACCCAGCACUGGCUGGCGCAGCUGCAAACCCUGGAAGGUGUUCAGGUCACCCAUGAACCACUAGACUCCUCUGUCCAUGGGAUUCUCCAGGCAAGAUUACUGGAGUGGGUUGCCAUUUCCUUCUCCAGGGGAUCUUCCUGACCCAGAGAUUAAGCCUGCAUCUCCUGCAUUGCAGCCAGAUUCCUGACCACUCAGCCAUCAGGAGGCCCCUCAAUUUGCCUUUCUCACCAUGGUAAAUGGUACCCACAGAUUUCUGUGCCUUGGGUCAAAUAUCAAAGCUACGAUUUAUUAUGAUAAAAGGAUGCAAAGCAAAAUCGGCAAAGAGAAGAGGUACAUGGGACAGAGACCAGAGGAAACCAGGUGUUGGCUUUCAAGACUUAAUUCCAUUGGAGUCACUGAACCCAUUAAAAUUUCUCCAGCCACAAAUUGAGACAACAGCACAUCAAGUUGCUUCUGAAGAAUCAAGACAAUCUGUAUGCUGAGUGAUGUUCAGUCACCUCCUGAGUAGCAGGUCUGGCUGGCACAGUGAUGUUGAGUCCAGGCUCCCUUCCAAAGGCAUUGUUAUUUAUAGGAGAGUGUCCACUGAAGCCAAGGAUCAAUGCUGCUGGAACACUAAGAAGCCAAAUAGAAGUAAACUGCUCAUCUUAAAACCCAAGCUCCAGACUUCCAGUAGGGAAAAGUAAGCAAGUCAGCAAUCAUCUCCCUAGAAAAUAAUGAUAAAAUGAGAACAGCACCCAUUUCAGGGCUCUGGAAAUUGACUAAAGGCAAACAACAAGCUGGAAAGUGUUUUGUUUUGUUUCUUCUUCAUAAAGAACUUCUAUAUCUUAUUAAGAAUAAUGGAGUUCUUUGGCAUUCUUGCCUGGGACUGCUCCCAGCCAGUCCUGUGCCAGCUCAGUGAGAAGGUUCUAGCAGGACUGGACAUACUGAAAAAGCCUGCAGCUUCAGUCCUGGUGCUCAUUAGCUCAGUCAUGUUCAACUCUGUGAGAACCCAUGGAUUCUAGCCCACCUGGUCCCUCUGUCCAUGGGAUUUUGCUGGCAAGAAUACUGGAGCAGGUUGCCAUGCCUUUCUCCAGGGGAUCUUCCUGAUCCAGGGAUGGAAUCUGCAUCUCCUGCAUUGGGAGGCGGAUUCUUUACCACUGAGCCACCUGGGAAGCCAUUAAUGCUGGAGGGCAUGCAACUGAGUUUCGGUAGAAAACCCAGCCCUGGUUGUGUUAAAGGAAUGAUCCUGGUGGCAAGUGAACAAGGAAAGCCAGCACUUUGUUGACCUGAGGCUGCAGUCCAGGAAAAAGCAAUAUUAUGGGUGACAAUCCAGGCAUUGAAUAGGGAGAUCCUAGAAAUGAGACACUACAGAGCAGCUUGAACAAUUACCCCAGAUCCCCCAGCUGUCUUCUGAGCAUGUGCAGGGCAGGGUGGUGGGGGAUCAGAGGUGAUACAAGCUAUUCACCCAUCCCCAGCUAACUGAUGUCAUGAACUUGCAGAGAUGUGGAUGGGCAUGAGAAAAUCUUACUGGGUUGAUAGAAAUGUUCUAAAACUGGAUUGUGGUGCUGUUUGCUCAACUCUAUAAAUUUAUCCCAAAUCACUCAUUUUAUACUCAAAACAGAUUUUAAGGUAUGUGAAUUACAUAUACAUCAAUAAAUCUGUUAAAAACAUUCAAGUUCUAAUAAAUACCUCUAAAAAAUGUUUUAUUUUCUU
ensembl:lncRNA